GUAGUCCUGGCUGUAAACGAUGUCGACUUGGAGGUUGUGCCUUGAGGCGUGGCUUCCGGAGCUAACGCGUUAAGUCGACCGCCUGGGGAGUACGGCCGCAAGGUUAAAACUCAAAUGAAUUGACGGGGGCCCGCACAAGCGGUGGAGCAUGUGGUUUAAUUCGAUGCAACGCGAAGAACCUUACCUGGUCUUGACAUCCACGGAAGUUUUCAGAGAUGAGAAUGUGCCUUCGGGAACCGUGAGACAGGUGCUGCAUGGCUGUCGUCAGCUCGUGUUGUGAAAUGUUGGGUUAAGUCCCGCAACGAGCGCAACCCUUAUCCUUUGUUGCCAGCGGUCCGGCCGGGAACUCAAAGGAGACUGCCAGUGAUAAACUGGAGGAAGGUGGGGAUGACGUCAAGUCAUCAUGGCCCUUACGACCAGGGCUACACACGUGCUACAAUGGCGCAUACAAAGAGAAGCGACCUCGCGAGAGCAAGCGGACCUCAUAAAGUGCGUCGUAGUCCGGAUUGGAGUCUGCAACUCGACUCCAUGAAGUCGGAAUCGCUAGUAAUCGUGGAUCAGAAUGCCACGGUGAAUACGUUCCCGGGCCUUGUACACACCGCCCGUCACACCAUGGGAGUGGGUUGCAAAAGAAGUAGGUAGCUUAACCUUCGGGAGGGCGCUUACCACUUUGUGAUUCAUGACUGGGGUGAAGUCGUAACAAGGUAACCGUAGGGGAACCUGCGGCUGGAUCACCUCC
rnacentral:rRNA from 1 species